rnacentral:rRNA from 1 species
CGAAAGUCUGACGGAGCAACGCCGCGUGAGUGAUGAAGGCUUUCGGGUCGUAAAACUCUGUUGUUAGGGAAGAACAAGUGCUAGUUGAAUAAGCUGGCACCUUGACGGUACCUAACCAGAAAGCCACGGCUAACUACGUGCCAGCAGCCGCGGUAAUACGUAGGUGGCAAGCGUUAUCCGGAAUUAUUGGGCGUAAAGCGCGCGCAGGUGGUUUCUUAAGUCUGAUGUGAAAGCCCACGGCUCAACCGUGGAGGGUCAUUGGAAACUGGGAGACUUGAGUGCAGAAGAGGAAAGUGGAAUUCCAUGUGUAGCGGUGAAAUGCGUAGAGAUAUGGAGGAACACCAGUGGCGAAGGCGACUUUCUGGUCUGUAACUGACACUGAGGCGCGAAAGCGUGGGGAGCAAACAGGAUUAGAUACCCUGGUAGUCCACGCCGUAAACGAUGAGUGCUAAGUGUUAGAGGGUUUCCGCCCUUUAGUGCUGAAGUUAACGCAUUAAGCACUCCGCCUGGGGA